ACGCUCGACACCUAUGGGAGGCAGCAGUGAGGAAUAUUGGUCAAUGGGCGCAGGCCUGAACCAGCCAAGUAGCGUGAAGGAUGACUGCCCUAUGGGUUGUAAACUUCUUUUAUAUGGGAAUAAAGUUUUCCACGUGUGAAUUUUGUAUGUACCAUAUGAAUAAGGAUCGGCUAACUCCGUGCCGGCAGCCGCGGUAAUCUGAGCGGGCUGGCAAGGC
rnacentral:rRNA from 1 species